GACUUUCGUCCGCGUACAAGGCGCGCGAUUCGAAUAAAUGCGCAUAAAAAAAGACAAGGAAAAAAAAAGGCGGCCCCCACCGUGUACGCCGAGGUAAGGACGCGUCGUGUCUUUCCGCGGUCGUUUUAUUGUGACGCGCGCUCGCCACUCGGGAUAUUAAUGUACGCUUUAUACGUUUUAUACGACGACGACGAGGAGGCGGCGGCGGGAAAAAAAAGCGUUUUAGGUACGUAGUUUUUUUUUAAAUUUUAUUAUCAUUAUUGUUGUUAUUAUACGCGCACGUAUUAUUAUAAUAUGCAGAGGUGUCUGAGAAGCGAGUCGAUUUUUAUCGGACAGACGAAUUAAUCGUUUUUCUCUUCCUCUUUUUUUUUUUUUUUUUUGUUUUUUUUUUUUGUUUAAAUCGCGCGUUACCUAUACUCGUUAUAAUAUUGUAUUAUAAACCCGACACGACCGACGACGGCGACGACGACAAAAACAACGAUUAUUAUUAAUGCGUAUUAUAAUAUGUACGUAGGUAAUGCGAUAAUAAUACUACACAGCUAUACACCUAUACUUGUAGACUUCUAAAAAAUAUAUAUAUACAUGUAUUUUUAACGUAUUCAUCGAUAAAUAGCAAUUAGACAGUUAUUAGAGAUUGUAUUUAUCCGUAAAAUACAGAUUUCCUUUUAAAUUGCGAUGUUCGAAUAUAGGACGCCUUUGAAAAAUACUUUCGAAUAUUUUUCUAGUUUUUUUUUAUGUAUUUGUAAAUAAAACCGUAUAGUAUUUAGGCAGCAGGUACCUUAAAUAUUUCCAGAGAGGUUAGUGCGCUGCAGGUUAGUGGUUACGAAUUGGUUAUAAUCAGCUAUUUCUAUUCAUUUCUCAAUACGUUUUGAGAAAAUCUAAACAAAAUUAAUAAAAUAAACUUUAUACUGAAAUAGCAAUGGCAUUAACUCGUUAGGUUAGGUGUUUAAACACUUUUUAACUUAAAUAGUUUAUUAAUUAUUUUUAUCGUUAACUAUAACUAACUUGAAUAGGCAGUUUUCUAUUGGAUAAACAUAACUUUUUACAAUUAAUUUUUUAUAAAAAUCCUUGUUAAGCUAUGUUAAACAGGUUAAAGUCGAAUGAUUUUGUUCAAAAUUUGAAAUUAAAUUUUAAUUUUUCUGUUCUCAGUACUGCCGUUUAUGUAUUUCAUUUUACAAUAUUUAUUGUAAAUAUUUGAUUCAGUUUAUUUUUGUAUACAUAUAUAAUACUUCAUAUUGAAUACUUUUAAUGUUGAUUUUUGUACCUAGCAAAAAAGAAAAAGAAACUUUUUCCGAUUGAAUUUAAAUUAACAAGUUCAAUUACACAUUGAAAGUUUAUAUUGACUAUUGAUGCAUGAUAAAUAAAAAUAUUUAACAGUAAUAAUAUGCGAACUGGAGGAGAUAUGCUGGGUGUCGAAUCCCCCCUCUGGCUUUUUUUUUUUUUUUAUGGUAUAAGCAAUCUUUAAACUAAAUCUGGGACGUUCAUUAUAAAUACAAAUUAAAAUUCGUUUUUAAAUAUAAAUUUAUUUAGACCAGAAAUUAAAAUCAUAAUUGGUAUCUAUAGCGUUACAUUGUUAAAAAUUACACGCGGAAUACAAUGUCAGAGGCGUAUUUAUAAUUGAAUAUUAGAAUACUAUACAAUCAUUGCGUACCUAAUAACUAAAUGUUUUGUUCAUUAGAAUCGAUUAAAUGGAUUGGCUAUGCCGGCAGUCCAUAGAAAUGUUUCGAUGGAUCCAGAGGACGUUGUACUGGAUGAAAUGACUGCGAAGCCAAUCACACGCAGUAGAUCGAUUAUUAUAAAUCUUAUGCUUUGUUCGUCAUUAUUAUCCAUAAUUCUAUCUGUAUAGGAAUGAUCUAUUUAAUCGGUCUGAGCGUUUUCGUUGUUUUACUAACCGCAAAGAGGUUUUCCAAGAAUAAUACACGUUUCACGGCAAAACUAUAUUGUACAAUAUGCUUUUUCGCUUUACUUAGAAUCUACAAAGUGACGGUAUUUUUAAUUGAUUUUUAAAUGUUUUCCAUAAAUACUAUACAUUACGUAUAUAAUAAUUAUGGAAAUCUGCGUUACGUAAUAUUAUGGGCUAUCCUACCAAUUAUCAUCAUGUGUACCAAGGGCAUUCGUAUUCGAAAAUCCACG